CUACGGGGGGCUGCAGUGAGGAAUAUUGGACAAUGGGCGAAAGCCUGAUCCAGCCAUGCCGCGUGCAGGAAGACGGCCCUAUGGGUUGUAAACUGCUUUUGUACGGGAAGAAACACCCCCACGUGUGGGGGCUUGACGGUACCGUAAGAAUAAGCAUCGGCUAACUCCGUGCCAGCAGCCGCGGUAAUACGGAGGAUGCAAGCGUUAUCCGGAAUCAUUGGGUUUAAAGGGUCCGUAGGCGGACAAUUAAGUCAGAGGUGAAAUUCUGCGGCUCAACCGUAGAACUGCCUUUGAAACUGGUUGUCGUGAAUCGUUGUGAAGUGGUUAGAAUGAGCAGUGUAGCGGUGAAAUGCUUAGAGAUUGCUCAGAAUACCGAUUGCGAAGGCAGAUCACUAACAACGUAUUGACGCUGAGGGACGAAAGCGUGGGGAGCGAACAGGAUUAGAUACCCCAGUAGUC
rnacentral:rRNA from 1 species